rnacentral:lncRNA from 1 species
CACCAUGCUGACGACGUUCUGCUCAUCACAGGCCAUCAAUCAAAAUAUCAAAAAUCGGACUUCCACGACUUUUAGAGAAUAAUUUGCUUCACAACUGGCCCGCUUUGUCAGAGGGUGUCAGAGUAUAUAGGCCUGACAACCUUCAGUUUCUGAAACAGCCAAUUAAAAAACUUAAAACACUUGGGGGGUCUAUUGCUUCAUAUUCUUGCAUAGAGGCCCCAUCACAUCCUAUGUGUCAGAUUUGGGGUCUCCAGGGUCACAGGGAGCCACGUGGCGCCCGAAAAAAUGGAGGGAAAAUAUUUAUUAAUUAAUAUACUUAUAUUUCAUAAACACUUCAGGAGUGUUUUGUCUUGAAAUCGACCCGUUUAGAAUAACCAAUUGGAAGGGUAUACCCAAGUAGGCUAAGGAAAGAAACACAAGUGUAUUGGGGACAAACGGGGUCUCAGUCACAGUAAUAACUGACAUUACACAUAUCCUGACUUUUACUGUCCCCACCGUGAAUCUGCUGUUACCCCACCUCUGCUGUUUUCUCUAAAAUAAGACAUUGGUAAUACUAAGAACGUGAUUCUGUUUGUUAUUUUUCUAUUCAUAUUCACCUUUUUAAUUUAAGUUGAGUAAUUUCAUCUCUACAGAGUAUGUAAUCUUUCCACCCAGUCUCAGUAAUAACUGCUAUAUCACACAGAUCCUGACUUUUACGGUCCCCACCGUGACCAUGCCCCUCCCCCACCCCUGUUGUUUCUCUCAGGAAAUGCUGACUUGGGGCGGUAAAGAUUGUUUGAAUGUGUUGGUCAAAUGACUAUUAACAAUGGAUUUAAGGAAAACAGACGCCUCUGCAAUAGAAAUGGUUUCGCCAGUGCCUGCAAAUAUACCAAUAUAUUGGUAUUUUCAUACGUUCUAGAAGUCUGGGGUCAAAAGGUCAAAAGGAGCCGGCACCACGCCGCUUAUGAGAUAACAAACAGUUAAUGUGUAUUUCUCUCGUAACUUUUUGUCUUCUCUCGUAACUACCGGGAGCACCCCCAGAAACACAAAAGUGUAUUGGGGACAAACGGGGUCUCAGUCAAGAACGGGGUCUCAACUGACAUUACACAUAUCCUGACUUUUACAGUCCCCAGCGUGAAUCUGCUGUUACCCCACCUCUGCGGUUUUCUCUAAAAUAAGACAUUGGUAAUACUAAGAACGUGAUUCUGUUUGUUUAUUUUUCUAUUUAUAUUCACCUUUUUAAUUUAAGUUGAGUAAUUUCAUCUCUACAGAGUAUGUAAUCUUUCCACCCAGUCUCAGUAAUAACUGCUAUAUCACACAGAUCCUGACUUUUACAGUCCCCACCGUGACCAUGCCCCUCCCCACCCCUGUUGUUUCUCUCAGGAAAUGCUGGCUUGGGGCGGUAAAGAUUGUUUGAAUGUGUUGGUCAAAUGACUAUUCACAAUUGAUUUAAGGAAAACAGACGCCUCUGCAAUAGAAAUGGUUUUGCCAGUGCCUGCAAACAUACCAAUAUAUUGGUAUAUUUGCUUAUUGUGAUGUAAUUUCCUACAUUAUCUGAAAAUGCUUAAUUUUCCCUAAAAGACCAAUCAUCAGUCAAUGAAUAUAUUAUGAUGCAUGA